AUCCCCUAAUAAUCACAAUGGAUUUCCUUACACUAAAAUGUUGGGCUCUAAGCACUGCUACGUCAAAUAACAACGAGGGUUUCACCUGCAUCCAGCCCAUGCUUGGUUCAGAGGGACACAGACCUUUUAUUAGAAAAUGCAAUAUGGCAACAUUAUCAGGGGAGUCACAUGAGUUCAUUUCAAAAUCAUCUUAAGGCCACUGUACAAGGUAGGAAAUAAGCUCGAACAUGAAAAAGGAGUAAAAUAAUCAUUAAAGCUGUAAUGAUUUAUAUCAUAACAUUAUGAAGUAGCACACUUUACUCAGUACAGUUCCUCAAUGAAUGUUUUCCUAAUUUCCAUAAGUAAUUGACCUCUCAUUAACAGCUCAUUAGAAAAAUUGAGGUGAUGUGACAAAUGCAAACCCACUGCAACAGAGACUGCCUGUGAAUAAAUUAUUGAAAAUGGAUGGUUUCAGAAUGAAGGACCACAGGAAACUUGCUUUUUCUGGCUGCAGAAGACUUCAUUUACAUCUGUAAAGUAAAACACAUCUGUGUGAAUAUGCACACUCAACAGCUUUGUAUCCAUGUGGCUCAUGGCUGAUUUUCUAACGCAGUAACCCUUCUUAUAUUCUUCAUAUUGCAAGUAACUGCAUAGGAAAAGAAAUUAGGCAGAUAGUUCAUAUAUACAUAUGUGUUUGUAAGUCGUUGGUUCAACUACAGAGACCAAAGCUGAAAAAAUGAGGUACAAAUUUGGAACGUGGGCUAAGCAAGUGACUUAGUUUGUAAGGAACUAAAUAUUGACUGGCACUGCUCAUUGGCUCCAGCUGAGAUGUGGGACCUACCAGAACAGGACUACAGCUGAAUUCCUGCCCAUGAGCAGCUGUUUCAGAAGGGAGCUGGCUACCUUGUCCUUCCCAUAGCUGCUGUUAACCAGCACGUGAAUGUUAACAAGCUCAAUAACAGGUUUUGCCCGUACAGAAGUGUUAACUUUAAUAACCUUCUAUAUGUGUCUUCUUAGGGAUCAAUACAUUGAUUUCAAGCUAGUUCUUCAUCACUGUAAUAUGGAGAAGAGUGACGCUGAUGUUUAACAUAAAACUUUAAUAGUCCUGGAUUCUUCUGGAGAAACCCAGAAAAAAAGCAUUUCUUUUUCAGUGUGGCCCUUAAAGUCCCAAUGCGUAUCUGAAAUGUAUUUGGCAGUAAUUUGAUUUAUAGGCUCCACAUGUGUGGCAAAGCUACAUAAAGAUGGGAAAGGCAAAGAAAUCCCAGUCUGAAAGUCUGGUACAGCAGAGAUGAGAUGAACUGAUGUACUGUCCUGACCUUUUGCAGUACCAACGAGAAGACUGUGGGGUCUCUGAGGAGGAUAAAGGCAAUGGAGAGCUAAUGUAAAACAAUGGAAAAAGCUGGCUUAGGGCUGCCCUGGCAAAAAGACCAGCAGGAAUCUCACUUUUCCUCAUAUGGGCAAUGUGUCUGCUAUCUGGUUACCCUUCUCACAAUUUCCUCCCUACCCAUCUGAAUUCUCCUGCAAUGGGCCAUUGCAUAGCACCAUCGUAGUGCAGGUGACAAUCUGUUUUGCUUUGCCAGCCAAACUGCAGAAGAAAAGAAGCACUGAAGCGGUCGUGAGGAAUUUCCUAUUAUGGAAGAAAAAUGUGUUUUUAAAAGCCUCACUCGGAAGAAUCCAGCUGCUUUGCUUACCAUGACAUUUGAAAACAAAAGGUUGAAGAGAAAAGAGAUGCUGGGUAAACAGUGAAGACUGAUAGAUUGCAUCAUGCCAUGGGGCUGUACCAAGAGACUAGUUUUGUGUUACUGCUCCCUGUCUCUUUAUUCUGUGGAUUCUCUAACUCCUACUGGUUGAUCUCAGCCCAAAUGUAGAGUAAAAUCUCCUCUCUAAUGGGUUUUAGCACCUCUUCCCAGACCCAUGUGUGAACCGAGUUGUGAGGCUGGAUAGGAAACAACGUAUGAAAACAGGAAGCUGAGGAUAUGUUACCCAAACAUCUGUCUUGCAUUCAACACCUCCUCUAGGAUUUUUGGGACUGCCAUAGAAACAAAGCUUUUGGGGUCUCGGAUAACCAUUACAGCGGUGUAAACCAUUGUAAUGAUGUUUAUUAUCACAUCUCUCUGCACGGCGCUGUGUGCUCCUCAUCAGAGCCCACCCUUCCCACAGCUACACGCUCCUACGCUGCACUACAAGGAUGACUCACAGGCAGAAUUUCUUUAGCAUUUAGAAAUACAUUUGGAUUUCAGCCAGCUGUGGAAAAUAUGCGUACUUCCUCUUAUGCCCAUACAGUACUCAGUAUAUUGCUUUACAUAUGGGAUCUGAAUCAGUAAUACUAAAAGCCUGAAGUUGAAGGAAGAGCAAAAUGUGCUUAUAAGCAUGCUCCUUGAUAAGGGGAUUCUUUAUAUUUUUACCAUUUGUUCAAUCAUUUUGUGCGAAUGAAAUAGCUGAUACAUUGCAGGAUAGAAAUAACACCCCUCAAAAGAGAAAAUACUUUGUGGAAAUCACACCCUGGCAAACAGACAAUGUUCCUUAUAGGGGCUGACUUUAAAGAAGAAGUUGUAAUACCACGCAGAAUGAGAAAAUGAGAAUAUUGUAAUUACAACUGCAAACAUGAUUUCCAAACGUGCAAUAUCAUGUCAGGCUAGCAAAUCUGCAGAUAUUCAGGAACUCACCAAAACUGCCUUGGAAAGGCAUGAUAAAUAGCACCAAGAAAACAGCUAUUUUUUUAACCGUUGUUGCAGCAUGACUUUAGUUGUUGUAUGCAAAAUGGUUUAAUGUCACCUUAAUUCCAGCUUGCCUUGUGAAAAAUGACCCUGUCAAUUUGAUGCAGAGGUGGAACAUUGAAAAGUGCAAUAUUUCUUCUAAUAGGCAAGAGCUGACAAAGAUAGACUGAACGAUGUGGAACUGUACGGAACUGACCCGAAUGUGAAUUCCAAAUGAAAUUAAAUAUAUUGCUCUUAGAUUUCA